GAUGAACGCUAGCGGCAGGCCUAACACAUGCAAGUCGAGGGGUAACAUAGAAAAGCUUGCUUUUCUGAUGACGACCGGCGCACGGGUGCGUAACGCGUAUACAACCUACCUUUUAGCGGGGAAUAGCCCAGGGAAACUUGGAUUAAUGCCCCAUAGUAUAUAGACUUCUCCUGAAGUUUAUAUUAAACAUUUAUGGCUAUUAGAUGGGUAUGCGUCCUAUUAGUUAGUUGGUAAGGUAAUGGCUUACCAAGGCAGCGAUAGGUAGGGGUCCUGAGAGGGAGAUCCCCACACUGGUACUGAGACACGGACCAGACUCCUACGGGAGGCAGCAGUGAGGAAUAUUGGACAAUGGGCGAGAGCCUGAUCCAGCCAUGCCGCGUGCAGGAAGACUGCCCUAUGGGUUGUAAACUGCUUUUACAGAGGAAGAACCACCCCCACGUGUGGGGGUUUGACGGUACUCUGCGAAUAAGGAUCGGCUAACUCCGUG
rnacentral:rRNA from 1 species